AGAUUGGUACGACAGCUCUACAUGUUGCUGCACACUUUGGACAUCCACUAAUAUUGCAACUUCUUCUAGAUGCAGGUGCACAGCUCCUAAAAAGAAAGAAUGGCAACACUCCUCUACAUGACUGUUUCAUGGAUCCCAAGCGAACAUAUUCACAGCAUUUCGAAGUUAGCAAUGUUCUAUUGAACAAAGACAGAAACUUGUCGUUUCUUAAAAACAAUUUUGGUGAAACUGCUGCCGACAUCUACCAAAAACAUGAAUGUAGAGAAUAUUCAGAUUACCAUAAAUCUGCAGAAAGGGAAAGAUUAUUUUACAUACUGAAAGGUUAGUUGCAG